ACGUCAAAAGAAGUUAGNUAGCAAUAGUCGCUUACGAGGUGCNGCACGGUUGUCGUCAGCUCGUGCCGUGAGGUGUCGGCUUAAGUGCCAUAACGAGCGCAACCCUUAUUGCCAGCUACUAACAGGUGAAGCUGAGGACUCUGGCGAGACUGCCGGCGUAAGCUGUGAGGAAGGUGGGGAUGACGUCAAAUCAGCACGGCCCUUACAUCCGGGGCGACACACGUGUUACAAUGGUGGGGACAGCGGGGAGCUACCCGGCGACGGGAUGCCAAUCCAAAAACCCCAUCUCAGUUCGGAUCGGAGUCUGCAACUCGACUCCGUGAAGCUGGAUUCGUCUAGUAAUCGCGCAUCAGCCAUGGCGCGGUGAAUACGUUCCCGGGCCUUGUACACACCGCCCGUCAAGCCAUGGAAGCCGGGGGUACCUAAAGUCCGUAACCGCAAGGAUCGGCCUAGGGUAAAACUGGUAACUGGGGUCU
rnacentral:rRNA from 1 species